CCUACGGGCGGCAGCAGUGGGGAAUAUUGGGCAAUGGGCGCAAGCCUGACCCAGCAACGCCGCGUGAAGGAAGAAGGCUUUCGGGUUGUAAACUUCUUUUCUGAGGGACGAAGAAAGUGACGGUACCUCAGGAAUAAGCCACGGCUAACUACGUGGCAGCAGCCGCGGUAAUACGUAGGUGGCAAGCGUUAUCCGGAUUUAUUGGGUGGAAAGGGCGUGUGCGCGGGAAGGCAAGUCAGAUGUGAAAACUCAGGGCUCAACCCUGAGCCUGCAGUUGAAACUGUUUUUCUUGAGUGCUGGGGAGGCAAUCGGAAUUCCGUGUGUAGCGGUGAAAUGCGUAGAUAUACGGAGGAACACCAGUGGCGAAGGCGGAUUGCUGGACAGUAACUGACGCUGAGGCGCGAAAGCGUGGGGAGCAAACAGGAUUAGAUACCCGAGUAGUC
rnacentral:rRNA from 1 species